AAUGAACGUUGGCGGCGUGGAUUAGGCAUGCAAGUCGAGCGAGAACCCGCAAGGGGGACAGCGGCAAACGGGGUAGGAAUGAUUGGUGACGUACCCUCGGGACGGGGAUAGCCACGGGAAACUGUGGGUAAUACCCGAUAAUCUCCCAGGUUUGAAGACCUGGGUGCAAAGGUGUGAUUCCACCGGAGGAGCGGCCAAUCUGGUAUUAGCUAGUUGGUAGGGUAACGGCCUACCAAGGCUACGAUGCCUAGGGGGUGUGAGAGCAUGGCCCCCACCACUGGGACUGAGAUACUGCCCAGACACCUACGGGUGGCUGCAGUCGAGAAUCUUCGGCAAUGGGCGAAAGCCUGACCGAGCGACGCCGCGUGCGGGAUGAAGGCCUUCGGGUUGUAAACCGCUGCCAGAGGGGAUGAAGUUAUAGGAGGUUCUCCUUCUAUAUUGACAGAGCCUCAGAGGAAGCACGGGCUAAGUAUGUGCCAGCAGCCGCAGUAACAC
rnacentral:rRNA from 1 species